AGUGAACGCUGGCGGUAGGCCUAACACAUGCAAGUCGAACGGCAGCACAGUAAGAGCUUGCUCUUACGGGUGGCGAGUGGCGGACGGGUGAGGAAUACAUCGGAAUCUACUUUUUCGUGGGGGAUAACGUAGGGAAACUUACGCUAAUACCGCAUACGACCUACGGGUGAAAGCAGGGGAUCUUCGGACCUUGCGCGAUUGAAUGAGCCGAUGUCGGAUUAGCUAGUUGGCGGGGUAAAGGCCCACCAAGGCGACGAUCCGUAGCUGGUCUGAGAGGAUGAUCAGCCACACGGGAACGGAGACAGGGUCCAGACUCCUACGGGAGGCAGCAGUGGGAAUAUUGGACAAUGGGCGCAAGCCUGAUCCAGCCAUACCGCGUGAGUGAAGAAGGCCUUCGGGUUGUAAAGCCCUUUUGUUGGGAAAGAAAAGCAGCAGGUUAAUACCCCGCUGUUCUGACGGUACCCAAAGAAUAAGCACCGGCUAACUUCGUG
rnacentral:rRNA from 1 species